rnacentral:rRNA from 1 species
CAGCAGCCGCGGGAACACGGAGGAUCCAAGCGUUAUCCGGAAUCAUUGGGUUUAAAGGGUCCGUAGGCGGUCUUGUAAGUCAGUGGUGAAAGCCCAUCGCUCAACGGUGGAACGGCCAUUGAUACUGCAGGACUUGAAUUAUUGGGAAGUAACUAGAAUAUGUAGUGUAGCGGUGAAAUGCUUAGAGAUUACAUGGAAUACCAAUUGCGAAGGCAGGUUACUACCAAUUGAUUGACGCUGAUGGACGAAAGCGUGGGUAGCGAACAGGAUUAGAUACCCGAGUAGUCCCUGUCUCUUAUAC